rnacentral:misc_RNA from 1 species
GAAAUGCGAUAAGUAGUGUGAAUUGCAGAAUUCAGUGAAUCAUCGAAUCUUUGAACGCACAUUGCGCCCCUCGGUAUUCCGUGGGGCAUGCCUGUUCGAGCGUCAUCUACACCCUCAAGCUCUGAUUGGUGUUGGGCGUCUGUCCCGCCUCCUUCGCGCGCGGACUCGCCCCAAAUCCAUUGGCGGCGGCCCUUGCCUCCCUCUCGCGCAGCACAUUGCGCUUCUCGAGGCGCGGCGGACCGCGUCCAGCAAGCAACCGUCACACCGUCUUUGACCUCGGAUCAGGUAGGGAUACCCGCUGACCUUAAGC